AUUGAACGCUGGCGGCAUGCCUUACACAUGCAAGUCGAACGGCAGCACGGACUUCGGUCUGGUGGCGAGUGGCGAACGGGUGAGUAAUGUAUCGGAACGUACCUUUCAGUGGGGGAUAACGUAGCGAAAGUUACGCUAAUACCGCAUAUUCUGUGAGCAGGAAAGCCGGGGAUCGAUAGACCUUGCGCUGAUUGAGCGGCCGAUAUCAGAUUAGCUAGUUGGUGGGGUAAAGGCCUACCAAGGCGACGAUCUGUAGCGGGUCUGAGAGGAUGAUCCGCCACACUGGAACUGAGACACGGUCCAGACUCCUACGGGAGGCAGCAGUGGGGAAUUUUGGACAAUGGGGGCAACCCUGAUCCAGCCAUGCCGCGUGAGUGAAGAAGGCCUUCGGGUUGUAAAGCUCUUUCGGCCGGGAAGAAAUCGCAUAGGCUAAUACCCUGUGUGGAUGACGGUACCGGAAUAAGAAGCACCGGCUAACUACGUG
rnacentral:rRNA from 1 species